rnacentral:rRNA from 1 species
GCCUACGGGAGGCAGCAGUAAGGAAUAUUGGGCAAUGGUCGGAAGACUGACCCAGCCAUGCCGCGUGCAGGAAGACGGCCCUAUGGGUUGUAAACUGCUUUUGUCGGGGAAUAAACCUGCCCACGUGUGGGCAGCUGAAGGUACCCGGCGAAUAAGCAUCGGCUAACUCCGUGCCAGCAGCCGCGGUAAUACGGAGGAUGCAAGCGUUAUCCGGAUUCACUGGGUUUAAAGGGUGCGCAGGCGGGAUGAUAAGUCAGAGGUGAAAUCCUACGGCUCAACUGUAGAACUGCCUUUGAUACUGUCGUUCUUGAGUAAAGUUGGAGUGGGCGGAAUGUGUUGUGUAGCGGUGAAAUGCUUAGAUAUAACACAGAACACCGAUCGCGAAGGCAGCUCACUAAGUUUUAACUGACGCUCAUGCACGAAAGCGUGGGGAUCAAACAGGAUUAGAUACCCUGGUAGUCAG